GUGAGGAAUAUUGGUCAAUGGGCGGGAGCCUGAACCAGCCAAGUCGCGUGAAGGAAGAAGGAUCUAUGGUUCGUAAACUUCUUUUGCAGGGGAAUAAAGUGCAGGACGUGUCCUGUUUUGUAUGUACCCUGAGAAUAAGGAUCGGCUAACUCCGUGCCAGCAGCCGCGGUAAUACGGAGGAUCCGAGCGUUAUCCGGAUUUAUUGGGUUUAAAGGGUGCGUAGGUGGUUUGAUAAGUCAGCGGUGAAAGUUUGCAGCUUAACUGUAAAAUGCCGUUGAAACUGUCGGACUUGAGUGUAAAUGAGGUAGGUGGAAUGCGUGGUGUAGCGGUGAAAUGCAUAGAUAUCACGCAGAACUCCGAUUGCGAAGGCAGCUUACUAAGCUACAACUGACACUGAAGCACGAAAGCGUGGGGAUCAAACAGGAUUAGAAACCCGAGUAGUCC
rnacentral:rRNA from 1 species